UGGGGAAUUUUGGACAAUGGGCGAAAGCCUGAUCCAGCAAUGCCGCGUGUGUGAAGAAGGCCUUCGGGUUGUAAAGCACUUUUGUCCGGAAAGAAAUCCUUGGCUCUAAUACAGUCGGGGGAUGACGGUACCGGAAGAAUAAGCACCGGCUAACUACGUGCCAGCAGCCGCGGUAAUACGUAGGGUGCAAGCGUUAAUCGGAAUUACUGGGCGUAAAGCGUGCGCAGGCGGUUUGCUAAGACCGAUGUGAAAUCCCCGGGCUCAACCUGGGAACUGCAUUGGUGACUGGCAGGCUAGAGUAUGGCAGAGGGGGGUAGAAUUCCACGUGUAGCAGUGAAAUGCGUAGAGAUGUGGAGGAAUACCGAUGGCGAAGGCAGCCCCCUGGGCCAAGUACUGACGCUCGUGCACGAAAGCGUGGGGAGCAAACAGGAUUAGAUACCCUGGUAGUCCACGCCCUAAACGAUGUCAACUAGUUGUUGGGGAUUCAUUUCCUUAGUAACGUAGCUAA
rnacentral:rRNA from 1 species